UAGGCUAGACCACUUAAAUUCCGAAG
rnacentral:piRNA from 1 species